UACAGAGGGUGCAAGCGUUGUUCGGAAUCAUUGGGCGUAAAGGGCGCGUAGGCGGGAUGGCAAGUCAGUCGUGAAAUCUCUCGGCUCAACCGAGAAACGUCGGCUGAUACUGCCGUUCUUGAGGGAUGCAGAGGAGACUGGAAUUUACGGUGUAGCGGUGAAAUGCGUAGAUAUCGUAAGGAAGACCAGUGGCGAAGGCGGGUCUCUGGACAGUUCCGUGACGCUGAGGCACGAAGGCCAGGGGAGCAAACGGG
rnacentral:rRNA from 1 species